rnacentral:rRNA from 1 species
UACGAAGGGGGCUAGCGUUGUUCGGAAUUACUGGGCGUAAAGCGUGCGCAGGCGGCUGCUCAAGUCAGGGGUGAAAGCCCAGAGCUCAACUCUGGAAUUGCCUUUGAGACUGAGUGGCUUGAGUACGGGAGAGGUGAGUGGAAUUCCCAGUGUAGAGGUGAAAUUCGUAGAUAUUGGGAAGAACACCGGUGGCGAAGGCGGCUCACUGGCCCGUAACUGACGCUGAGGCACGAAAGCGUGGGGAGCAAACAGG